rnacentral:rRNA from 1 species
GAUGAACGCUGGCGGCGUGCCUAAUACAUGCAAGUCGAGCGAACAGACGAGGAGCUUGCUCCUCUGACGUUAGCGGCGGACGGGUGAGUAACACGUGGAUAACCUCCCUAUAAGACUGGGAUAACUUCGGGACACCGGCGCUAAUACCGGAUAAUAUAUUCAACCGCAUGGUUCAAUAGUGAAAGACGGUUUUGCUGUCACUUAUAGCUGGAUCCGCGCCGCAUUAGCUAGUUGGUAAGGUAACGGCUUACCAAGGCAACGAUGCGUAGCCGACCUGAGAGGGGGAUCGGCCACACUGGAACUGAGACACGGUCCAGACUCCUACGGGAGGCAGCAGUAGGGAAUCUUCCGCAAUGGGCGAAAGCCUGACGGAGCAACGCCGCGUGAGUGAUGAAGGUCUUCGGAUCGUAAAACUCUGUUAUUAGGGAAGAACAAAUGUGUAAGUAACUAUGCACGUCUUGACGGUACCUAAUCAGAAAGCCACGGCUAACUACGUG